GACGAACGCUGGCGGCGUGCUUAACACAUGCAAGUCGAACGGAAAGGCCCUGCUUUUGUGGGGUGCUCGAGUGGCGAACGGGUGAGUAACACGUGAGUAACCUGCCCUUGACUUUUGGAUAACUUCAGGAAACUGGGGCUAAUACCGGAUAGUAUCUCCUGCUGCAUGGUGGGGGUUGGAAAGUUUCGGCGGUUGGGGAUGGACUCGCGGCUUAUCAGCUUGUUGGUGGGGUAGUGGCUUACCAAGGCUUUGACGGGUAGCCGGCCUGAGAGGGUGACCGGCCACAUUGGGACUGAGAUACGGACCAGACUCCUACGGGAGGCAGUAGUGGGGAAUAUUGCCCAAUGGGCGGAAGCCUGAUGAAGCAACGUCGCGUGAGGGAUGACGGUCUUCGGGUUGUAAAAAGCUUUCGCCUGUGACGAAGCGUGAGUGACGGUAAUGGGUAAAGAAGCACCGGCUAACUACGUG
rnacentral:rRNA from 1 species